CUGGGUGAGACUGCCCUGCUGCCCUGCUGUGGAGUCUCAGCAGGCAGAGCUCUGGGAGUCUCCACCAUGGCCUGGACCCCUCUCCUGCUCCCGCUCCUCACUCUGUGCACAGGUUCUGUGGCCUCCAGUGGGCUGACUCAGCCUCCCUCAGUGUCGGUGGCCCUGGGACAGACGACCACGAUCACCUGCUCUGGAGAUGUACUGAGGGAAAGAUAUGCAUAUUGGUACCAGCAGAAGCCAGGCCAAGCCCCUGUGCUCCUAACUACUAAAAAUACUGAGCGGCCCUCAGGGAUCCCUGACCGAUUCUCCGGCUCUAACUCGGGGAACACAGCCACCCUGACCAUCAGCAGGACGCAGGCAGAGGACGAGGCUGACUAUUACUGUCAGUCCUAUGACAGCAGUGGGAACGCUCACAGUGACACAGGCAGAUGGGGAAGUGAAACACAAACGCCUUCCCUGUCUGUGUCACACUCUCCUCCAGCCACAGAAGGACUGUGGACAAGCAAUGAGCAGGUCUGACCCAGGCUCCCAGAUCCCAGGUCUCCCGAGAUCCACUCUGCCUUCUAGGCUGGCUCUGCACAGGGAGGGUCAGGAGUGCAUUCAGAGCUGACAACACCAGGCUGCCUGGGUUCUGAGAACCCGGGUACGACCUGGGGAUAGAGGGCCUGGGUGGAGGAGACAGAAGGAGGUUUUUGUCCAGUGUCACUAUCUCUGCAUUUUUAUAUGGUGGUCACUGGGCCACUGUUCACGCCAGUCACCAGGAUGAGAGUCCCCAAUGUUCCCAUGAGCUGAGCUCCUGAUGACCUGGCAUCAUGACCCACCUCCACUUGAGGGGAGCAGAGGGUACAAUAGUCACAGUGUUGUCAUCCAUACCCCCACAUCUGGGUUCACACACCACUGCUGCCUGGAGGCCCUGACAGCUCACAGGGGUCCUCCCCACUGGGAAGUGCUCUUGGUUCAGACAACCGCCUCCCCAGGUUUCUGCCCCUUCUCAGAGAGGUUCAGGUGAAUGCCGGCCUGAGUGAAUG